rnacentral:rRNA from 1 species
UACGUAGGGUGCGAGCGUUAAUCGGAAUUACUGGGCGUAAAGCGUGCGCAGGCGGUUUUGUAAGCCAGAUGUGAAAUCCCCGGGCUUAACCUGGGAAUGGCAUUUGGGACUGCAAGGCUGGAGUGCGGCAGAGGAGACUGGAAUUCCUGGUGUAGCAGUGAAAUGCGUAGAUAUCAGGAGGAACACCGGUGGCGAAGGCGGGUCUCUGGGCCGAAAUUGACGCUGAGGAGCGAAAGCGUGGGGAGCAAACAGG